rnacentral:rRNA from 1 species
AACUUUCAACAACGGAUCUCUUGGCUCUGGCAUCGAUGAAGAACGCAGC